GGCACUGUGUAUUCAUAACGUUCUAGUGUUCAAAUAUGCAUCGUAGUUACUUUCCGCCUUAUUUUUUAAUAUGCGUGAUUGUUAACGUCGAUCUGAGGCUUUGUCAAUAAACCACGAGUGAGCAAUUUGUGUUAAAUAUUCGCAAUGUAUGUACUCAUAUUAUUUGCUGACGGUAUAUAUUACGUGUGUCAAAGAAAAAAUAUAGUGAAAUCCAGGAAUAAAUAUAUCGCAAAAUAUUAAUAUGAUAAAAGAUAUACUUGUCGUAUCUUAGCACAUCAUGGAAUAUAUCAAAAAUUGUGUUGCAACGUACAUUGACAUUAGUACCUCGGAAUGUAUCUAAAGCCCAGAAUACGAGAAACGAUGUGAUAAAGGAAGCAGAAGAUACUAUCAUUCUUGAUGUUACUGAUAAAAAUGGUGGUAACGAACCCACAACAUGAUGAACGAUAAGAAUAACCAUACUGAAACAUGUGAAUUAGAUACAGGGAUUUGUGAACAAUUGGAGAGUGUCAUAUAUACAGAAAUAUAUAGACAAAUGUAAAGUGAUAGAGAAAAAUCAAAUGAAGAAAAUGAUGUGAUAAAGGCAACAGAAGAUAUCAUUCUUGAUGUUACCGAUAAAAAUGAUAAAAACGAACCCACUAACAUGAUGAAAGAUAAAAGUAACCAUACUGAGACGUGUGAAUUAGAUACAGAGAUUUGUGAACAAUUAGAGAGUGAAAUAUAUACAAAAAUAUGUAGACAAAUGGAAAGUGAUAGAGCAAAAUCAAAUGAAAGUUUUACAAA